rnacentral:rRNA from 1 species
UACGAACCGUGCGAACGUUAUUCGGAAUCACUGGGCUUAAAGGGUGCGUAGGCGGGCUCUCAAGUCUGGGGUGAAAUCCCGCGGCUCAACCGUGGAACUGCCUCAGAUACUGACGGCCUCGAGGGAGAUAGGGGCAUGCGGAACUGUAGGUGGAGCGGUGAAAUGCGUUGAUAUCUACAGGAACACCGGUGGCGAAAGCGGCGUGCUGGAUCUCUUCUGACGCUGAGGCUCGAAAGCCAGGGGAGCGAACGGG